rfam:Providencia rettgeri DSM 1131 genomic scaffold Scfld3, whole genome shotgun sequence.
GGGUGCUUGGAUCAUUUUGGUUCAAGCAUUAGUGAGAGCCAAAAAGACGAAAGCCCCGAAUUUAGAUGUUAAUCUUAAUCCGAGGCAGUCUCAAACACACAACAAUUUGAUUCUGUCUCCUUUUAGAAAAGGAGUCAAGAGGAAUGGCCAAAAUU